GUCGAUGGGAAACGGGUUAAUAUUCCCGUACUUGGUGUUACUGCGAAGGGGGGACGGAGAAGGCUAUGUUGGCCGGGCGACGGUUGUCCCGGUUUAAGCGUGUAGGUGUGUGUUCCAGGUAAAUCCGGUUCACUUUAACACUGAGGCGUGACGACGAGGCACUACGGUGCUGAAGCAACAAAUGCCCUGCUUCCAGGAAAAGCCUCUAAGCAUCAGGUAACAUCAAAUCGUACCCCAAACCGACACAGGUGGUCAGGUAGAGAAUACCAAGGCGCUUGAGAGAACUCGGGUGAAGGAACUAGGCAAAAUGGUGCCGUAACUUCGGGAGAAGGCACGCUGACACGUAGGUGAAGUGAUUUACUCAUGGAGCUGAAGUCAGUCGAAGAUACCAGCUGGCUGCAACUGUUUAUUAAAAACACAGCACUGUGCAAACACGAAAGUGGACGUAUACGGUGUGACGCCUGCCCGGUGCCGGAAGGUUAAUUGAUGGGGUCAGCGCAAGCGAAGCUCCUGAUCGAAGCCCCGGUAAACGGCGGCCGUAACUAUAACGGUCCUAAGGUAGCGAAAUUCCUUGUCGGGUAAGUUCCGACCUGCACGAAUGGCGUAAUGAUGGCCAGGCUGUCUCCACCCGAGACUCAGUGAAAUUGAACUCGCUGUGAAGAUGCAGUGUACCCGCGGCAAGACGGAAAGACCCCGUGAACCUUUACUAUAGCUUGACACUGAACAUUGAGCCUUGAUGUGUAGGAUAGGUGGGAGGCUUUGAAGUGUGGACGCCAGUCUGCAUGGAGCCGACCUUGAAAUACCACCCUUUAAUGUUUGAUGUUCUAACGUGGACCCGUAAUCCGGGUUGCGGACAGUGUCUGGUGGGUAGUUUGACUGGGGCGGUCUCCUCCUAAAGAGUAACGGAGGAGCACGAAGGUUGGCUAAUCCUGGUCGGACAUCAGGAGGUUAGUGCAAUGGCAUAAGCCAGCUUGACUGCGAGCGUGACGGCGCGAGCAGGUGCGAAAGCAGGUCAUAGUGAUCCGGUGGUUCUGAAUGGAAGGGCCAUCGCUCAACGGAUAAAAGGUACUCCGGGGAUAACAGGCUGAUACCGCCCAAGAGUUCAUAUCGACGGCGGUGUUUGGCACCUCGAUGUCGGCUCAUCACAUCCUGGGGCUGAAGUAGGUCCCAAGGGUAUGGCUGUUCGCCAUUUAAAGUGGUACGCGAGCUGGGUUUAGAACGUCGUGAGACAGUUCGGUCCCUAUCUGCCGUGGGCGCUGGAGAACUGAGGGGGGCUGCUCCUAGUACGAGAGGACCGGAGUGGACGCAUCACUGGUGUUCGGGUUGUCAUGCCAAUGGCACUGCCCGGUAGCUAAAUGCGGAAGAGAUAAGUGCUGAAAGCAUCUAAGCACGAAACUUGCCCCGAGAUGAGUUCUCCCUGAGACUUAGAGUCUCCUGAAGGAACGUUGAAGACGACGACGUUGAUAGGCCGGGUGUGUAAGCGCAGCGAUGCGUUGAGCUAACCGGUACUAAUGAACCGUGAGGCUUAACCUUACA
rnacentral:rRNA from 1 species